UACAGAUGGGGUUUCGCCACGUUGGCCAGACUGGUCUCGAACUCCUGGCCUCAAUUGAUCCUCCCACCUCAGCCUCCCAAAGUGCUGGGAUUACAGGUGUGAACCACCGCACCCAGCCGGGUUUCUUAAAGUGACAUCACCCCCAAAGAGCUCCAGAGACAUAGAGAAGGACAGCAGGACAGCAAGAGACAGAGAGCAUCCCCAGGCUGGGGCACAGCACACAGCUCCCAGCCACCCAGCCG
rnacentral:lncRNA from 1 species